GCAAGUCGAACGGUAACGAUGCUAGCUUGCUAGCAGGCGACGAGUGGCGGACGGGUGAGUAACGCGUAGGAAUAUACCUAGUAGUGGGGGAUAACAUGGAGAAAUUCAUGCUAAUACCGCAUAUGUCCCAUGGGAUAAAGAGGGCCUCUUCUUGAAAGCUCUUGCUAUUAGAUUAGCCUGCGUCGGAUUAGCUUGUUGGUGGGGUAAUGGCCCACCAAGGCGACGAUCCGUAGCCGGCCUGAGAGGGUGAAC
rnacentral:rRNA from 1 species